ensembl:miRNA
CUACUAAGUUGGUGCAAAAGUAACUGCGGAUUUUGCCAUUAAAAGCAAUGGUAAAAACCACAAUUACUUUGUAUAAUCCUAACACUGUACUCCAGCU